rnacentral:lncRNA from 1 species
GUUCUCUCAAUGCUGUGCUCUUGAUUGACCCUCUCCCCCUCCCCCCUGCAUGCCUUUAUCCUUCAAAGUUACGAUGGGGGGUGGGGGGGAGUAAGUAGCCUCUUCAUCCUCCCAAGGCAACCGGGAGGCAGCAUCAGCAGGGAAGAAUUAAUGGGACGUAGUCCAGACCUGGGCCUGGGCGUCAGCCCUCAGCCCCUCAGCCAGUUUCUGUUUGCUUGUGUUGAGAAGUGCUGAUGACUGGGUAGAACAGAUGAGGUCAGUCACAGGUAUAUUUCAGGGAAACAAGAUUCAACCUUAACCCGAUCUGAAGAGCUGGCACAGAGAAACACCCGGUCGGUCUGUGACUUGUCCCCAAGAGAUUGGUUUUCUCAGCCCUUAUCACUGUGGAAUUGCAAAGGUAGAGAUCACCACCCUCCUGGUUCUUCACCUGUCAUCCUAGAGCAGACCUAGAAAAGACGGCCAAGUCCCUUGUGAGCUCAGCCUGAGCAAUCAAACCCCGAAGACUGAGAAUAGCAAUGUCGCUUGCUUGAUAGCUCUCGUACCACUGGAGCAACCACAGGACUGUGCUAAGCCAUAGUUUUGUAAAGUUAUCUUUAGUCAAUCAGCAAUAUGUGUUCCUGUAAAUUUGGAAUGUUUUUCAUUCUGACUUGUUGUCAGGGACUCUACUGAAAAACAACUUGAUCAAUAUAAAAGCGUCCGAGCUAUGCAACACUA